GACGAACGCUGGCGGCGUGCUUAACACAUGCAAGUCGAACGGGAUCCGGGCUUUCGGGUUUGGUGAGAGUGGCGAACGGGUGAGUAACACGUGAGUAACCUGCCCCCUUCUUUGGGAUAACGUCGGGAAAUCGGCGCUAAUACUGGAUAUUCUUGCUGCAUCGCAUGGUGUGGUUUGGAAAGGGUUUCUGGUGGGGGAUGGGCUCGCGGCCUAUCAGCUUGUUGGUGGGGUGAUGGCCUACCAAGGCUUUGACGGGGAGCCGGCCUGAGAGGGUGUCCGGCCCCACUGGGACUGAGACACGGCCCAGACUCCUACGGGAGGCAGCAGUGGGGAAUAUUGCACAAUGGGCGCAAGCCUGAUGCAGCGACGCCGCGUGAGGGAUGACGGCCUUCGGGUUGUAAACCUCUUUCAGUAUGGAACAAGGAUCCUUCUUUUGGGGGGUUUGAGGGUACGUGCAGAAGAAGCGCCGGCUAACUACGUG
rnacentral:rRNA from 1 species